CCGUGAUAAAGUAGCAUAAUCACUCGUCAUUUAAUUGGUGACUGGAAUGAAUGGUUACACGAAUCUUUAACUGUCUCAAGAAGAAAGUUCAAUUAAUUUGAAAAAACAGUGAAGAUGCUGUUAGCGAAAUUGUAAGACGAAAAGACCCUUUCGAGCUUUACUAUAAGCUUAUAGAAAAAAUCUUUAAUAAAAAUAUAAUAAAAACAAACUGUAAGCUAGUUAGUUUGGUUGGGGCGACCACCUCUAAAACAGUAUCAGAGGAAAUCUAAAGGUAUAAUAGUAAUAUUAAUUGCCUUACUGUAUACAAACAAGUUAAUCAGUUACUAUUAUGUAGGAUAUAAUGACCCGUUGAAUUAAUUUCAAAAUUCAACGACCAUGAAAAAAGUUACCGUAGGGAUAACAGGGUAAUAUUAUCAAAGAGUUCAUAUCGAUGAUGAU
rnacentral:rRNA from 1 species